rnacentral:rRNA from 1 species
GAUUAACGCUGGCGGCGUGCAUGAAACAUGCAAGUCGAGCGCGGCGCGUCGCGGGGCAACCUGCGGCGCGUCUAGCGGCGAACGGGUGAGUAACACGUGAGCAACCUACCCUCGAGUCCGGGAUAGCCCUGAGAAAUCAGGAUUAAUACCGGAUGUGGUCAGGCCGAGACAUCUCGGCGUGAGUAAAGGCGCAAGCCGCUCGAUGACGGGCUCGCGGCCUAUUAGCUAGUUGGUGGGGUAACGGCCUACCAAGGCGAUGAUGGGUAGCUGGUCUGAG